rnacentral:tRNA from 1 species
CAGGUAGCGUAGCUGGUUAGCGCAUCUGGCUUACAUCCAGAGGGUCAGGGGUUCGAUUCCCUUCCUGGG